UAUUAAGAAAAAGGGGAAUUU
ensembl:piRNA 21ur-10748 ncRNA